GUUUCCGAAAAAGAAAGAAACAAAGAGUUAUUAUUAUAAGAGGAAAAGUGCCUACCCAUUGUUGUCGGCGGAGGUGGAACGAGGGCCUGUGAAAGGCCCAGAUCGAUCCGCAAGGCAGUCGACGAUGGCGUUGGUUCGGUGCGCCGCGAGGAGGCUGGGUGGCUCCGUGCUCCAGCGAACGCAGGCGGCGGCCGCGGAGGAGGGACGCCGGCUCGUGCCAAGCAGGUUCAUGCGCAACCGCCAGCUCUCCGGCGAUGUCGCGAUCAGCAUGCUGGCAAGUUCCCUGCCUUGGAUUCUGAGCUGGAAAAGAACAGGAAGGAGCUGGAAGCCAUGAUAGCUAAGUUGAAGAACACUCCAAGACCACAUGCCUCUACGUUGUGCGUACAAUAUCAGACGAUCAAAGAAGAUGCAUCCAACUUGAUCAAUUACUUCCUUAAUUUCCCGUUUAUUUGUUUGUUUGACAGGAGUUGAUACAUAUAAUCUCAUUUGACCUACCACUCAAUACUUGCAGGCGCUUGAUGUCCUACGGGCGUACAGUUCAGGGUGUACACGGUCUCGGUUUAAUGAGUGGUAGGUCAAAUGAUGUCAAAUGUGU